ACCUGGGUGGCUCAGUCGGUUGAGCGUCCGACUUCGGCUCAGGUCAUGAUCUCACGGUUCGUGGGUUCGAGCCCCGCCUCGGGCU
rnacentral:tRNA from 1 species